rnacentral:rRNA from 1 species
GAACGCUAGCGGCAGGCUUAACACAUGCAAGUCGAGGGGCAGCGUGGAGUAGCAAUACUCUGACGGCGACCGGCGAAAGGGUGAGUAACGCGUGAGCAACAUGCCCGGUAGUGGAGGAUAGUCAUUGGAAACGAUGCGUAAUACUCCGUAACAACAGGGACCGCAUGAUCCUUGUUUAAUAGAUUUAUUGCUAUCGGAUUGGCUCGCGUACCAUUAGCUUGUUGGUGAGGUAACGGCUCACCAAGGCGACGAUGUCUAGGGGUUCUGAGAGGAAGGUCCCCCCACACUGGAACUGAGACACGGUCCAGACUCCUACGGGAGGCAGCAGUGAGGAAUAUUGGUCAAUGGGCGCAAGCCUGAACCAGCCAUGCCGCGUGAAGGAAUGAGGCCCUAUGGGUCGUAAACUUCUUUUGUGGUGGAGCAAUAAGGCGUACGUGUACGCCGAUGAGAGUACAUCACGAAUAAGCAUCGGCUAACUCCGUGCC